rnacentral:lncRNA from 1 species
AUAUAUCUAGGCAAAUUGCCUAGAAGUGAAUCCCCUCUCCUGCUUAAGUCCUUCCCACAGAGAGCGGUUUGAUAUGUCACUGAAACCAGCAUCCAGGUGGUAUUGCUCCAUAUGCCUGAGACCCUAACAAAAGCCUAAUUACAACUCAUAUGCCUGGAGCCAGGACAUGUGCAGGAUGACUCUGCCAAGAGAGGGGAUUAUUACAUAUUGCAGAGCCCAGCACCUAGGUGGAGUGACUCUCAUCUUUUUCUUCUACCCCGUAUAUAGCCAGCUUGGUGACCUACUAUUUGAGUCUAUACCCAGGCCCAGACCACAGAUGAAAUUGUGCAAUAUGUGGAACAAACACCUAAACAAUAUAUAACACCUUCCUUGGCUCUGUCUACAAAGGGCACUUUUAUAUAUCACUGGGACCAUCAACCAGGGUCCUGCGUACUAGGUGGAUUGUGACAUCUCACUGGACCCGCAACCAUGUAGGUCAUGUGACUUUCAUGCCUUCUCACUGGCCACAGGUGAUGUUGUGCCAUAUAACUGAGACCGUAUCAAAAGCCUAAUAACAAGACGUAUGUCUGGAGCCCCGAUAUGCACAGGAUGGUGAUAUAACCCUCUUCUCUGGAAUGGGCCCCACACAAAGGAAGGAUAGUGACAUAUUGCAAGCCCAGGCACACAGGCCCAGAGCACAGUUGAAAUUGUGACAUAUGUACACCAAGCAACCAAGCAAUGUAUAACACCUCAUUUGGCAAUGGAAUCGAGGGCACUUUUACAUAUCACUGAGACCAGCGCCCAGCUGAUGUGAAAUAUUGGCCUGAACCCUGCCUACAAAAGCAUUGUGGCUUUUAUCUAGCUCCAUUACAUAAGUGAUGUGACUUCCUUCUACUGCCUUGGCCCUGCACUUAUGGUGAAUCGUGACACAAAAUUGGGUAGAGCAACCAGCCUGGGCCCUGACCAGCACAGAGAUUGAGGCAUAUUGCUGAACCCAGGACCAAGAUGAAGUCACUCUCCUGCCUUGAUCCUGCACACAGGGACCCUUGUGACAUAUAUACAGGCCAAUUGCCUAGGUGAUGUUGUGCAAUAUACCUGAGACCAGAUCAAUGGCCUAAUAAUGACUCUUUUACCUAGAGCCAGGACAUGUGCAGGAUGGUAACUCUCAUCCCUGAACCUUUCCACAGGUGUUAUUGUCACAUAUACCUUUUCCAGCUCCAAAGUGAUUUAAUAAUCCAGCCUAGUUAUAGCCCACAGAUAAUAUUUGGACAUAUACCUGAGUCAAGAACCUUGGUGAUUU